CGGACGGGUGAGUAACACGUGGAUAACCUACCUAUAAGACUGGGAUAACUUAGGGAAACAGGAGCUAAUACCGGAUAAUAUAUUGAACCGCAUGGUUCAAUAGUGAAAGACGGUUUUGCUGUCACUUAUAGAUGGAUCCGCGCCGCAUUAGCUAGUUGGUAAGGUAAAGGCUUACCAAGGCAACGAUGCGUAGCCGACCUGAGAGGGUGAUCGGCCACACUGGAACUGAGACACGGUCCAG
rnacentral:rRNA from 1 species